GGGCGGCCGGGGCUGCCGGCACGGGGCUGCCGUCAGGUGGAGUGGGCACAUGAGACGUGGCACUGCUCCUGUGUCUCCUUCCUCGCAGAAUCACGGAAUCGAGGAGGUUGGAAAAGACCUCUGAGAUCAUCGAGUCUGACCUGUGACCGAACACCACCUUGUCAACUGGACCCUUGCACUGAGUGCCACGGCCAGUCUUUCCUUAAACACUUCCAGGGACGGUGACUCCACCGCCUCCCUGGGCACCCCAUUUCAUAUCUCCAUGAAUACAUGAGGAUGGUCUUGGUCUUCUGGCAGUUCUCCAAAGCAGUGCAACAGCAUCCUGAAAUGAACAUAGCUGAAGAGGCUCAGCAACAGCAAGAAAUCUAGCUGGCAAGAAACCACAAGAAAAGAUCAGGCAUAAUAAGAAAUUCUAUUUUUCAGUCCCUGGUUAUCAAGGUAUCCAGUUACUGCCCAAGAGUACUGAGCUGGGUGGCUGCCGGGACAAGAGACAUCCCUGAAUGCGCG